AAAAAAUUUAUGAAGCCAGGAACUUGUAAACUGAGAACUACCUGAAUUUGUAUGCUUGUUUGUUUGUCUUUGUUGAUAAUUUGAAUUAAAGAAUUAUAUUGUCCUGAAACUUAAUUCAUUUUAGAACAGCUUACUUGUGAUUUUUUUCAUCUGCUAUCUUGAGAAAACAAUAAUCAAAAUAUUUUAAAUUAUAUUUGGAUAUUAAUUUUGAAAUUAUUUUUAAAUUUUUCUUUUGAAACUAUUAAAACUAAUAAAUUAUCUAAAAUGCAUAGUCCAGGGUUGUCCUGAUGCUCCUGAUGAAAUGUUUAUAAUUUUGGUGAUUCUGAUCUUACUUGGUUUGUUCCUACUGAGUUCAGUUCCUUCACUUGCAAUAACAUUUCCUUUGUACAUCUUGGUUUUCAUUUUCUUCCCAUUGAUACACUUGAAUGAUUUUUUUUGUGGAUAUUUGCUUGAAAAUUUUCUUCAAAAUUUUAAAUACUUCCUAGUAAUUACAUCCUUCAAUAAAAAUCCAGAUGGAAGACUAUAUGAAUUUUUGCCCAAAAUUUCCUUUUCUGAAUUGAGAACAAACUGUAAUCUGCUACAAUAUAAGCAUAAAUAUAGAUAAUUGUUUAGUUUUUGCUAUAGCCUAUUAUCAGAUUAUCCCCUAAGUAAUAUUUUUUGUAUGUAUGAAGAAAACAAAAUUUACUUAGAAACAGAUCUUUUAAUCAUCAUAAUAAGUGCUCCCAGUACUUAAAAUCUUUUCCCAUUAUUCAAUAAUUUUUUGAAUGCCAGACUUGAAGUCUGUGCCUUUUGAUCCAAAAAACUCAGACAGGAUUUGAUGCAUCUCCUUGACAUUUCAGAGUUUUUCC
rnacentral:lncRNA from 1 species